ACUCCUACGGGAGGCAGCAGUAGGGAAUCUUCCACAAUGGGCGCAAGCCUGAUGGAGCAACACCGCGUGAGUGAAGAAGGGUUUCGGCUCGUAAAGCUCUGUUGUUAAAGAAGAACACGUAUAAGAGUAACUGUUCAUACGUUGACGGUAUUUAACCAGAAAGUCACGGCUAACUACGUGCCAGCAGCCGCGGUAAUACGUAGGUGGCAAGCGUUAUCCGGAUUUAUUGGGCGUAAAGAGAGUGCAGGCGGUUUUCUAAGUCUGAUGUGAAAGCCUUCGGCUUAACCGGAGAAGUGCAUCGGAAACUGGAUAACUUGAGUGCAGAAGAGGGUAGUGGAACUCCAUGUGUAGCGGUGGAAUGCGUAGAUAUAUGGAAGAACACCAGUGGCGAAGGCGGCUACCUGGUCUGCAACUGACGCUGAGACUCGAAAGCAUGGGUAGCGAACAGGAUUAGAUACCCUGGUAGGAUAGCG
rnacentral:rRNA from 1 species